AAAUUGAAGAGUUUGAUCAUGGCUCAGAUUGAACGCUGGCGGCAGGCCUAACACAUGCAAGUCGAGCGGAAACGAGUUGUCUGAACCUUCGGGGGACGAUAACGGCGUCGAGCGGCGGACGGGUGAGUAAUGCCUAGGAAAUUGCCCUGAUGUGGGGGAUAACCAUUGGAAACGAUGGCUAAUACCGCAU
rnacentral:rRNA from 1 species